rnacentral:rRNA from 1 species
UACAGAGGUCUCAAGCGUUGUUCGGAUUUAUUGGGCGUAAAGGGCGCGUAGGCGGCGGGGUAAGUCGGGUGUGAAAUCUCAGGGCUCAACCCUGAAACUGCACUUGAUACUGCUCUGCUUGAGGACUGGAGAGGAGACUGGAAUUCACGGUGUAGCAGUGAAAUGCGUAGAUAUCGUGAGGAAGACCAGUGGCGAAGGCGGGUCUCUGGGACGGUACUGACGCUGAGGCGCGAAAGCGUGGGGAGCAAACAGG